AGAAUUUUUCACAAUGGGGGAAACCCUGAUGGAGCGACGCCGCGUGGAGGACGAAGGCCUUCGGGUCGUAAACUCCUGUCAUGCGGGAACAAGAAAGUGAUAGUACCGCAAGAGGAAGGGACGGCUAACUCUGUGCCAGCAGCCGCGGUAAUACAGAGGUCCCGAGCGUUGUUCGGAUUCAUUGGGCGUAAAGGGUGCGUAGGUGGCGAUGUAAGUCUGGUGUGAAAUCUCGGGGCUCAACCUCGAAAUUGCAUUGGAUACUGCGUUGCUUGAGGAUUGUAGAGGAGAGUGGAAUUCACGGUGUAGCAGUGAAAUGCGUAGAUAUCGUGAGGAAGACCAGUUGCGAAGGCGACUCUCUGGGCAAUUCCUGACACUGAGGCACGAAGGCCAGGGGAGCAAAC
rnacentral:rRNA from 1 species